GACGAACGCUGGCGGCGGGCUUAACACAUGCAAGUCGAACGAGUGGAGAACGGGUGAGUAAUACGUGAGUAACCUGCCCUCAUUUUGGGAUCAGCCUUGGAAACGGGGACUAAUACCGGAUAAAGGGGGAUGGGCUCGCGGCCUGUCAGAUUGGUGGUGGGGUGAGGGCAUACCAAGGCGGGGAAGGGUAGCCGGCCUGAGGGGUUGACCGGCCACAUGGGGACUGAGAUACGGCCCAGACUCCUACGGGAGGCAGCAUGUGGGGAUAUUGCAGAAUGGGCGAAAGCCUGAUGCAGCGACGCGGCGUGGGGGAUGAAGGCUUGCGGGUUGUAAACCUCUUACGCUAUCGAAUGGGUAGGUGGAGAAGAAGCGCCGGCUAACGACGUGCCAGCAGCCGCGGUAAUAC
rnacentral:rRNA from 1 species